rnacentral:rRNA from 1 species
UACGUAGGGUGCAAGCGUUAAUCGGAAUUACUGGGCGUAAAGCGUGCGCAGGCGGUUAUGUAAGACAGGGGUGAAAUCCCCGGGCUUAACCUGGGAACUGCAUUUGUGACUGCAUAGCUAGAGUACGGUAGAGGGGGAUGGAAUUCCGCGUGUAGCAGUGAAAUGCGUAGAUAUGCGGAGGAACACCGAUGGCGAAGGCAACCCCCUGGACCUGUACUGACGCUCAUGCACGAAAGCGUGGGGAGCAAACAGG